AACCCAUGUCGAGGACAAUUUUGCAGGAGUUCCUUGAACCUUUCCCAUGUCUCAAAUAGAGACUCCAAUUCCAUUUGCAUAAAGGAUGAGAUCUCAUUCCUAAGCUU